UCUUGGUGCUAGCCUGCACCCUCACUGGCGCUAGGGCACCCCACACUCUCUGGGGUCCCUGUAUGAUUGAGGCCUCCUCCAACCCCUACAGCCUCACCCAAGCCUCCGGGUGUAAUAUCAAAGCCAAACAAACACGAGCCUCCUGGCUGUACCGCAAACAUAAAGCCCCCUGGCUAAACCAUAGUGCCCCAUCCUCUCAGGGCUAUCACGAGCUAUACUUGCAAGCCGGGCUUCUCCCCAUAUCUCGGCUGAGGGAGCUCCUGCCUCUCCAGCUGCUCGCAGAGAACUGCCAGCCUGGCUUCAGCCCUGGGCUUUAUAAGGGCCAGGCCCUGCCCCCUUCUGGCCAGCUGGCUCCCCUUAGUUGCUCCGGCAACCCACAGCUGUGCUCGUUACCCUGGCAACCCUCAGCUGCGGCUAUGUUCCGCCAGGGCUCGCUCUCUCCCCCUGGCAGUUUCUCCUCUCUAGGAGCAGGCACUAAGGUGCCCUGCGACAUAUACGUAUACUUGUACACACAUCUGCAUUUUUAUUGCUAUAAUUUUUGUUUAUCUGUGCUUUUAAUUUUGUUGAGAUUACGAUACUUUUUAAUUAAUGAAUUUUUUAAGGAUUAUUAUGACUGCUUUUACAGAGGGUACUUUUCUACAUAAAAUUAUUACUGUUAUCUCAUUUAAUUUUAUGUUGUUUCUCCAGAAGCAAAUUCCACCAGCCCUUUAAUUACUUGUGUUUCAUUUUUUCACAUUCUUGCCAGUUCAUCAACAUCUCUGGCACUGCAGAUGCUCAUAUAUAACAGCUACCCAGUGCUAACCCAAAGAGUUGCUGCUUUGGUUUGUCCUGUGUUUGUGCAACCCAAACAGCAUCAUACAUUUAAGCUGCUGCUUCAAUAUUAUGAUCCCACUAACAAUCAUCUAGUAGCAAACUGUAUUGUAAAAGUAAACCCAAGCUUGUUCUGUGACAGAUAAUAUCAUCACUUCAAUAUCACUACUGGGGGAAGGGAAAAAAGCCCAAUUAUCCCAGCAAUUUUGAUUCUUGUACUCUAAGUUUCUAAGUACUAAACACUCUGCUACUGAUCCCUUGGUGGAAAAUGGCACAGUAGGGAUGAUUAUUUAUAGACAAUGAUUGCCCAGAGGACAUCUAUAAAGUUUCAGGGAGAAGUCCCAUGUCAACACAAUAAACGCUAUACAGCAAAAAGGGUCCUUUACCAGUGAUAAAACUUUUCUUUUUUGUUAAAAUAUCCUAGAAUGAGAGAAUAAUUCUUUACAUUGUACCUUUGAUGCAAAGAUCUCAGAACAAUGUCAGAUGCUUCUUUAUAUAAAACUUACUAAGCUCUAAUGAAGUAGGGGUUAAUUACAGGGUAUAUAUCUCGCUUCUUAAAGUCCAUGGCAGAGACAGAACGAGAACACUAGGAAUGUGGCUCUUAAUUCUUUGCUCACAGUGCCAGAAAAAUUUCCUCUUGAGACUAUCUGGCUGCCGCACCUUUAUGAAGCUGUUUCUGAGCUUUCCGGCCCUUGUUUGCUUGCUGUAGUCACAGGAGUUUUGCAUAUCCUCACAAAAGUAAACUAAUUGAAGUUCUCAAAACUUUAGAUUAGCUAUUUAAUGUACCAUGACUCUUAAAAAGCAAGCCGAGCGAACAUUUUGUCCCAGUCUUCCAUAACGUAUUAGAGGAGCCAGUCUGGAUUUCAGGGCUUCUCCAGGGACCGCAGAGCGCUAACCUCUGCCAGAGAAAACAAAAUAAAGGAGUAAGAGAAUGGAAGACAGGAGUAUGCUUACCAGUGCCCAGUAACUAGGCAAGAAAAGCCAGAAACAUUUGGGGAUUGGAAGAAGCAGACAGAGCUCUCCUCACCCACUUUACUGAGACUUCCCCCCCCUCCCCCCUCCCCACCGGACUUUUAAAAAAAGUCUUUUAAAAAUACUAAUAAAUCCAGUGUGGUUAACCUUGUACAUUUAGGUUUCCUACAUAGUCCACGCUGCACUGUGGAAAAAGAGCUUCCCUGCUCUCUUUGGUUUGGCAAGUUCUCUGCAAGCUGCUGACACCACUGUUCUGAAGAAAAGGGCAAAGCAGUCCCAGAAGCAUAUGAGUAAUAUGUAGUGCUUUAUAUUGUCAGACCACUUUAUAGCCACUCUGUUCUUCCUUCUCAUAACUACUGUACGCAAAUAUUUGAAUUGUCUCCAUUUUUUUCCCUUAAGGGGCAUAAGGAGGUAGAGAUCUUGAAUCAAUUGUUCAAGGGCACAGAAAGGACCCUCUGAGUGUAUGGAUAUAGAUGAUGAUUGCACUGAUAUCAAAGACUACUGAUAUAAGCUGUUACAGUGCAAAUGUUAGGUCUGUGUGAUUCUGCAAGGAUACAGAUGUAGCAGAACUUUAAUUCUUCUUUAUUCUGGGUGAAGUUUAGGGCAAUUCAGCUGACAGUAGGACAGUCAGACUGUAGGAUCAGGCAGACAGACGUGACAGUUACAGUGAAACAGUUGAUAUGUGCAGCAGCAGCUUCCUUUCCACUAGGUAAUAUUCAUGUUUUUCUAUACCAGGGUUGCCAACUGUCUGCAAAUUUAUGGACAGGCCAUAAUAAAACAAGUUAAAAACACCUAUCUGUGAAGACUAGGUGGUGGGGAGAGGGAAAAGGAGCUGUUGGGGACCCCCCCCCACAAGAAACAAACAUUGAGCUUGUUGGAAGCUCCGUCCUUGCUAUCAGAAUGAGGCUAGAUAUGUUUUGAUGGACAGAUUGAGCAGAACAAUGACCCUCCAAGGUCAGCACCUUGGAGGGAGCUGUUUGUCAGGGCUUUCUGGCCAAUGGGAGCUUUCUUCUUCCACCCUCCCACCCCAGCCAUGUGCUGCUACUGCAGGUCCCAACUGCCUGUAACACCUGCUCCAAAAUAUGCCGGGCCACAUGACCCUAGAACAGGGAGAGACACAGUGAAGCUGGGACAGAGCUAGGGGGGUGAGGGAAUGGAGAGAGAUGCAACAGAUUGGGGUCCAUUUUGGCUAAGUACAGACAGUCAAAAAGCCCAAGGCUGAAUCGAUUCAGUCUUUGCAGUUUAGUCUAAGCUGCAUAGGUUAAACUGAAAAAGAACUGAACAGACAUUUACUUUUGAUAUAGGAAAUGCAGCCACAUGUCUACAGUGGCUCAGGCCAGAAACCAGGAGGUGCUAGAGCAUGACUCUCUGGCUGUGUGUUCACUUCUUCUUUCUGUUGCCCCCGAGAUCUCUGGGAUUUGUAGUCCAGAAUUAUAGCAGCAGGACUCUGUAUGGUUGCUCAUCACUUCCUUUUUCUGCUUUCAGGUGCCUCUGGGAUUUGUAGUUCAUAGGUGCAGCCAGCAGUAAGUUUGAGUGUGGGAAGGGGUGUUUUACCCCUGUCCCUGGCCCCAGACCUCAGCCAGGGUUUGCCUGGUGGGGGUCAGUCCCCUCCCUGCAGACUGGGUUGCAUCCCUAGCCAGGCUUUCCCCCGCCCCCAUCAGCCAGCCCUCACUGCUCCAGCUAGGGAGCAGAAGGGCAUGGCCAGUCCUGCUUUCUGGAGCAGACAGCACAGCCCAACCUAAGGCCACAAAGCAUGUUGGGAUGCUGGGGGAUUCUGAUUUAAUUUGAACCAAGAAGGAAUCUGGGACAGAAGUUUCAUAAACAGGUUUGACUCAAAUCAGUUAAGUCUGAUGCUACAUUCAACCAGGUUUAUCUUAAACCAGUUUCAGCCAUUUUGAAACUGGCUUAUGUGCACUGAGCUUCUGUUCUGUUACAGGUUUAAACCAGUUUCUGAUCACUUAAACUGGUUUAUGUGUAACUUCUGUCCCUAGUCUCUGAGACAGAGGCAAUAGGGCUAGCAGGGUAAGGUGGGGGGCUGGGCUAGAGACGGAGUAGCAUAGUGCAGGGUAAAGUUGACAGUAUUAGGGUGUGGGGUGAAUAGGGGACCCCUGGAGUGGGUACAACACAGGAUAAAACCAUUGCUAUAGUCAAACAGGGUGACCAGCUCAAGAACAUUUCUUUUUUUUUUUUACUAACAAUCUGGGCCAUAGGUUGCUGCACCUUCUUUAAAAUACAGUUUCUGUGAUUAAAAUAUUUUGUAAGGAGCCAGGCUUUCAACCUCAGAUGCUCAAAGUCCACUUUUACUGGACCAGUAAGGAAGGAAACCACUAGAUGCUUAAGUAAGUCUGUAAGGGUCAUCGUCUGUUUUUCAGAAGAUCUGAGUAGCUGUACCUUCCACUUACUGCAGUGGGGUUUGUAGAUCCUCAGCAAUUUAAAAAUUAGGUUACAACUUACCUAUUUAGAUAUUCAAGGUGUUCAAUUUCAGCAAGUUAAGUUUGAAUUUCGUGUUCAUGUUUCAUAAUUCUGUCCCUGGGAAUUCCAGAUGCUUACAUCAGUAAUAAUCUUGAACAACCAUGCUUGGACAAACAAAAAUUGGAUAAAUAUUAAUGAGUGCUAAUUUCUGUUUUUAAGUGCCUAACAUUUCUGUAAAAUGUUUCUGUAUAUCAGUUAAUUCAUUUUGUUUUAUACCAAAUAAUAAUGCUCUACCUUUUUUUCCACAAAGAUUUCAACAUACACAAUUUUUAAAUACCAUAAACAAUUUACAACUUGAUAUAAAAAGACUAUGCCUCCAAAACUAAUGAUUGUGCAUGAAUCAGUGAUAAUAAAACAAUAAUUACAUUAUAUCAUACAUUAUCACAUUACAUAUUGUACAGUGCAUAUUAUAGUGUGUAUCAUAUCAAUAUGAUUGUGCAUAUAAUAAAUUAUACUUUGUACUCGGUCUGAAGAGCAAAAUGGACUAUUCAUUUGAUUGGGAAAGAUUUUGCAAAACAGAAGAUGGAAGCCCUUAACCCAGCUAAUGGCUCCAGCUGGAGCCUCUUGAUUGGAACAGCUUCUCCAUUUAGCUCCAGCUGUGGCAACAGACUCCAGGCCAGCCAGCAGUUUCUGCUGAAGGUCAGCCCUGGCAAGAUGCUGUGAUCUAGUGCUUCUGGUUUCCUGACCCUGCUCACUCUGUUCUUGGAACCGAGCAUCUAAAUUUUCUUUUACAUUUGGUAAUUCAGUAUCUGACUCCUGAACUUUGACUCAGUUUCUGAUUUGGACUUUGCCUCUGGAUUUCCCUUGAAUCUGGAAUUUGAAAAGAAGUGUCCCUGAAUGAAGAACAUCUCCGAGAACAGCUCACAGGUUACUACUGCUGAACAAAUUUGAGAAACCACAACUGCUGCAAUAGGAUUUCUCAAUCCUUCUCUGCCUGACAGAUAAACAGGACUCAAAGGAGCCAGGCUGGUUUCUCUUUUCUGACCUGAAGAAUGGCAACAUCCUUUCAAAAUAACUGAAGCAGCUUGGAACAAUAGACAAGAAGAAAAAUUGACCUCUGAAGAACUUGGGAUGAAAUAGUUGGAAAACCAUUGUAGCAUGGCAUGUUUGAAGAAGUCCUUCAUGGGCAAUGAAAGCGUUAACUGUUAAACAGUUGCUUAAGAGACUGCAUCUUGUUUUUACAAAGAUAACUAACUACAGUUUUUAAUUGAAUACUAGCUAUAUGGCUUGUUUAGAACAAAAAUGCCUAGAUAUAAAUUUUACUUUUGGAAUAGUUCACCCUGCUCUAAGACAUUUAAUUAGCAGUACCCAUAUCACCUCUUAAAUAGUAAUAAAGCCUUUAUGAGUUAUAGUGAUGGAUGUUAUACAUUGGAGGAGAAAGGAUGGCUCUGGAAUGCACACUAGGGAGAAUUAAAUGCUUCAGCUGGAGCUAAUGAAAACUCAGAAGAAAAUGGGAAGGGUUUGGCCAAGAAAGGAGUCUUUGGUAAGCUAGGAGACAGGAGAUCAAGCAACAAGGAUUUCAGCUGUUGAGAAUCCUUUCCUCCUGCCAAGGAACAGGAACUCACAGUCAACAAAUUGGCACUUAGCAAAGUGCUUGGUUGAAGAAAACUGCCUUGGGAUUAGCUUUGCAUUUUAAAUUAUGCCUGGAACAAACCUCUCCAUGUUUAAAACAGAUUUAUUUUGUCCUGUAUUUAUACAAUAAUGCAGCCCACUUACCUUUUAUGGGGCUAGCACUGGCUAGGUUUAUGGACAUACCAGAGGUAGGUAAGAAGGUAAUCUCUUUUUAUAUAUGUGAAAAUUGAAGCCAGAAUUUUCAGGAAGGGAAGGCAGUAGUAAGCUUGUUCAAUGAGCUUUAGUUCAAGCAGCCCAUUGCCAGUUUUAAGCAUGGGGAUGCUGAUGCAUGAGACUUGCGUAUAGGUGCUCAUAACCCAUUAAGUGCUAAUUUGAAGGCUUCGGUGAGGCUUGGUAUCUGGUUGUGUGCAAGUUGUGUGCCUGGGACGGGGUCGGACCUGAUGAUCUGUUUAGGUCCCUUCCAAGCCUAAGCACUAUGAAACUGUCUGAAAAGCUUCCUUGUUCAAAUGGGUAAUGAGCUGGUGUGAGUGGCUUUCAUACUUCUGUGUUGGUGGUGGUGAGUAGGGCUGUGCAAAAUUUUCACCAGCUGUUUUGUUUUGACACUGUUUUGAUUCAUUUUCAGUUUGGAACAGCGGAAUUGAAAUGAAACGAAGGGCUUUGAAACAGCCUCAAAACAAAACUAGACUAGUCGAAAUGUUUCAAGUUUCAAAGCAGCCAGGUGGUGGGAGGCAGGGCAGAACGAGGGCUGUGCUUGCACUGGCUCCGCAGUCCCCUGUGGCUCAGCCAGGUGGGGAGUGCAGCCUGGCUUCUCUCCCUCAUCUGACAGGCAGAUAGGGAGCCUGCAACCCCAGGAGGACUGGCAAAGCCCCUGCAGCCCUCCCAGGGUUGCAGGCCCCCGAUCUGUCUGCUGGAUGAGAGAGGCUGUUUUGAGCUCUUUACCAUUAUAGCCUAUGGGUGAAAAGUCGAAAGCGUCACUGUUUCGACAAAAUGAAAUUAAACAGCGGUUUUGAAUCAAAACGAAAUUCGAAAUGAAAUGCUGUUCUGUCGAAACCUUUAAAUGCAAGUCAAAGUGGAACCAUGCCAUUUCGCACAGCCCUAGUGGUGAGUUCUUACUUAAAUGAGUAGCAUCUGGGAACCAAGUAGAUCCACUUCUGUCUGGGUAGGUGAUGAAACUAUGAAAAAGUCUCUUUCCACUAGAUGUUAACUUGGAGAUUUUUACCUUGUAUGAUACCGUGCCAUAACAUGACCUUGGUGAUCUUAUGAAUGGGAUUGUAUGACAUGGUUGACCUGUGAUAGCAGGGAAUUAGACUUGAUGACUCAGGAAGAAACUCCCAGGAGAUAUACAUAGAAUGAAAACCUCUGCUGCCAUGUGGGGGAGUAGAAUAUAUUGGUUUUCAGCUGGUAGCCAAAGUUGGAACUGGAAUUGUAUUGAACGUUGAUUUUAAGGUCAUGUUCAAAGCUGUUGAGAGAACCUAGUUAUGGGGCAUUUGAAUAGGCAAGGAACAUCCUGCUUGGGGCAUUAAAAAGCUCCCGAAAGCAGGAGAGGAGGAAGCAAACCUUAAUCAAAACAGCUUCCUAUGAGGAGGGACUCAGGGUGCUCUGCUGGGGCUAGAAGCAAAGAGGUCACUGCUCCCCAUCUAGGGUUUGGUUUUGUUUGUGUAUUGGCUUGCCUGCUUUUUGCUUAAAAAUUGUGUUUAUUUGAGGACCGACUGAGGAACUCAUCAGGGAGUGAAACCAGCCUGCAGAAGGCAGCAGGCUCGGCAGCCCACUUCCACGGAGGUUGUGACAGCAGGCAGCAUCUUCCAAGACCUUUUUUUUUGGAAUUGGCAGCAGCACCUAAUGUCUUGGGGCUGAUGGGUGGUAGUGGGAGGGGGGUGGUAUUGAUACAAGAAAAGGAAACAGGAAACGACGUGUUAACGCUGACAAAGGUAGAGCAUUCAGAGCUUGACCACAAGACAUUCAUUGUAUGUGUUUUUAGUAUAUCUGGAACACCAGUAUCUCUAUAAUAUGUGAACUUUCUUAUUGUUGAUGAUCAAAGGUCAAAUUUUUAAUGACAUGUAAAGAGAUUUUGUUGGAAGAAUAGUCCCAUCUUUUUAUUAUAAAUAAUUUAUUUGGCCUUUUAAUUCAAAUGGGAUGAUAGGAAAGUAGGGCUGGUAGGGACCUCAUGAGGUCAUCCAGUCCAACCUCCUGCUCAAGGCAGAAUCAUCCCUGACUAAACUAUGCCAGCCAAGUGUCUGUCCAACCUGCUCUUGGAAAUUUCCAAGGAUGGAGAAUCCACAGUUUGUCUAGGCAGCCUGCUACAAUGCUUGAUUACCCUCAUAUUCAGAAAUCGCCUGGUCUCCAACCUAAAUAACCCUAAUGUUUUCAGCUUUUCCUCAUACGUGUUGCUUCCCAGGCCUCUAAUCAUUUUUGUCAUUCUGUGCUGGUCUCUUUUCCAAUCUAUUUCAUUGAAGGGCCCAAAACUGGAUGCAGUGCUCCAGGCGAGGCCUCACUACUGCUGGUGUUUUGUUCAAAAUGUCCAGUGGGUUGCUAGGUACCCCAGUUUCCCUAAUUUCUGCAAGAUGAUUUUUUAGCUCCAAACCGUCAUUAGUAAGCAGUUCAAAGCAAUUCAUACAGGGAGUGUAGGCCUCAUAUCUACUGAAUUUGAGCAUAAAACCAUGUUUUUGUACUUUACCUGGCUUGCUUUCUCUCGGUCUCUCUUUCUCAGAGCGUUUCACAUGCUCUCGGCAGCGUUUUGGUAGUAUAUUUAUUCACUGACUUCUUUAUCACUUCAUGUACUUUUAUUUAAAUUUCCAUGUAGCUGCACAUGCUACAGAAGGACAGAUUAUGCAAAGUAGCGUCUCUUCUCUUAAAUAAGCAUUAUUACUAAGCAAGUUUGCUAACUGCAUCAGUGGAGUAGGCAC